ACUUGAUUAUAAUUAAAGGGCCGCGGUAAUUUGACCGUGCGAAGGUAGCAUAGUCAGUAGUCUUUUAAUUGAAGGCUUGAAUGAAAGGUUGGACGAGGGAUAAGCUGUCUCCUGUGGCGUAACGUGAAUUUAACUUUUAAGUGAAAAGGCUUGAAUUAUUUAGUGGGACGAUAAGACCCUAUAAAACUUGAUAUAAGUUUAGCUUGAUUUGUGAUUAUAGGUGAAAGACGAUUUUGUUUGGUUUAUAUUUCGUUGGGGAGAUGUAGAUAUAAUGUGUAACUGUCUAUUUAAUUUAAUAAAUAUAAUUAGUAUGUGAUCCUUCAUUUGUGGAUUGGAAGAAUAAGUUACUUUAGGGAUAACAGCGUGAUUUUCUUUGAGAGUUCUUAUCGACAAGAGUAGUUGCGACCUCGAUGUUGAAUUAAAAUUUCAGCUAGGUGUAGCCGUUUAGCUGGUGGGUCUGUUCGACCUUUAAAAUUUUACAUGAUUUGAGUUCAGAACGGGCCGC
rnacentral:rRNA from 1 species